GUACAAAAUGACUCUCGGCAACGGAUAUCUCGGCUCUUGCAUCGAUGAAGAACGUAGCGAAAUGCGAUACUUGGUGUGAAUUGCAGAAUCCCGUGAACCAUCGAGUCUUUGAACGCAAGUUGCGCCCGAAGCCAUUAGGUUGAGGGCACGCCUGCCUGGGUGUCACAC
rnacentral:rRNA from 1 species